CUGGCGACCGGCGCACGGGUGAGUAACACGUAUCCAACCUGCCGAUAACUCGGGGAUAGCCUUUCGAAAGAAAGAUUAAUACCCGAUGGCAUAAUUAGACCACAUGGUUUGAUUAUUAAAGAAUUUCGGUUAUCGAUGGGGAUGCGUUCCAUUAGGCAGUUGGUGAGGUAACGGCUCACCAAACCUUCGAUGGAUAGGGGUUCUGAGAGGAAGGUCCCCCACAUUGGAACUGAGACACGGUCCAA
rnacentral:rRNA from 1 species